CCCUCGGUAGCUCAGUUGGAAGAGCGUGGGACUGUAAAGGCUGCUUACGUAAUCCCAAGGCCACUGGUUCGAUCCCGGUCUGAGGGA